rnacentral:rRNA from 1 species
UACGGGAAGGCAGCAGUGGGGAAUAUUGCACAAUGGGCGAAAGCCUGAUGCAGCUAUGCCGCGUGUAUGAAGAAGGCCUUAGGGUUGUAAAGUACUUUCAUCGGGGAGGAAAAAACAAAACUAAUAAUUUUAUUUCUUGACGUUACCCGAAAAAGAAGCACCGGCUAACUCCGUGCCAGCAGCCGCGGUAAUACGGAGGGUGCUAGCGUUAAUCAGAAUUACUGGGCGUAAAGAGCACGUAGGUGGUUUUUUAAGUCAGAUGUGAAUCCCUGGGCUUAACCUAGGAACUGCAUUUUGAAACUGAAAUACUAGAGUAUCGUAGAGGGAGGUAGAAUUCUAGGUGUAGCGGUGAAAUGCGUAGAUAUCUGGAGGAAUACCUGUGGCGAAAGCGGCCUCCUAAACGAAUACUGACACUGAGGUGCGAAAGCGUGGGGAGCAAACAGGGAUUAGAUACC